AGAACGAACGCUGGCGGCAGGCUUAACACAUGCAAGUCGAGCGCCCCGCAAGGGGAGCGGCAGACGGGUGAGUAACACGUGGGAACCUUCCUAGAGGUACGGAACAACGCAGGGAAACUUGCGCUAAUACCGUAUGUGCUCUUGCGAGGAAAGAUUUAUCGCCUUUAGACGGGCCCGCGUCGGAUUAGCUAGUUGGUGGGGUAAUGGCCUACCAAGGCAACGAUCCGUAGCUGAUCUGAGAGGAUGAUCAGCCACACUGGAACUGAGACACGGUCCAGACUCCUACGGGAGGCAGCAGUGGGGAAUCUUGCGCAAUGGGCGAAAGCCUGACGCAGCGACGCCGCGUGGGGGAUGAAGCUUCUCGGAGUGUAAACCCCUUUCGAUCCGGACGAAUGACCCGCAAGGGUUUGACGGUACGGGUAGAAGAAGCCCCGGCUAACUACGUGCCAGCAGCCGC
rnacentral:rRNA from 1 species